CUUUAGCUCAAGACAUGGCUCCCGGCCCUCUCCAGAGCAAAUGACCAGAUGGAGAAAGAGAGAAAGACGCGGGGAUGGAGGCGCGCUGACUUGUAUAACCUCAUCUCAGAAAGGACGUACCGUCACUGCGGGAGUAUCCCGGCGUGCACGCGCACCGCACGGAGCCUGAUGGAAGGUAGGAGGCGAUGGCCCGAGGGCGAGGAUGCCAGGAAGCAGGGAUCCCUGGGGGCCGUCCUGGAGGUCAGCGGCCACACUGGUCACGCUGAGGGCUGGUCGUCCUGAGCCACUUGUAAAUGGGUCAGAGAUGCCCGGGGUCUCAGCACCAGGAGAACCCAAGAGGCCCUGGGCUUGGUUUCCAGCUAAGGAAACCAAGUUUAGGGGUUUAUUUGCGAGAACGCAGCUGCUCUUGUCAGGAUCCUGGGGCCUCAGUCUGGCCUUGUCCUGGGGAGAAGGACCACGCCUCACCCCCCGCCCAUCCUCCCCUCCUCCGUGCCUUCCCUCUGCAGGUGCAGGUGCUGGGGUUCUGGCACAUAAAGGCCUAGAUCAAGGUCACCUUGCCCAAGCCCUGACGAGUUCCUUCUUCCCCAGAGCUGCUCCCUCACGUUCUCCCUCAGUUAAAGCAAGAAGACAAUCCGGCUUAUUUCCACAUACACGGGGUGGUCGGUGCCCUCGUAGCCCCAGAGAGCAGCACAGGCCAGCACGUCGGCACUGCCCGACACAAGUCCACGCCGGCCUUCUGGGAUCCCACUGACAACUGGAGUCUGGUGUCAGACCGUCUCGAAGCUCCGUGACCUCCGAGCAAAACAAAACACUGCCGCAAACUGGAAGGCAGCCUGAGGUGGGUGUGCCGUCACACUCAGUCUCUCGUUUACACGGGUUAUUCAUCAAAUUGCACACUUGUGAUCUGUACAAUUUUCUACACGAAUAUUAUGUUUACAUUUACAUUUCUCAAAUAGUAUUUUUUAAAACAGUCCCUUAAAAAUACAGACAGGGACGUAUGUAUCUUGCGUCUUCCCAGAUCCCAGACAGAAGACAAGCAUUCUUUCUUUCCAGGUACCAGGGAGAAGCUGGGAAGGUGUGUGGUUGCUAAAAGUUCCAGCAUUCGGGAUUCUCGCUCAGGGUUAGAGCUCCCCUUUCUCAGAGGCUGUGGGAGUCCGGGCUGUGAGCUCCUGGAGAGGGGCCGGGGGGUACACUUCCGGCUCCUAACAGAGUCCAUCUGGGACCUUUGUUGCAAAGCACAGAAUCGUUGGUAAUUCUCUGAUGGUCCUGUUCAAAUUCCCUGGGAAACUGCUCUCACCUUCUUAUGCUGUGGGCAGUGGUGAUUCAGUGACAGAAGUGAGAACAAGUCGACCAUUCGAGUGGCCCUUGACUGGCAGAUCAGUCCCAUCUCCAAACCUGCAGUGACAAAAAACAGUGAUCCCAGGGAGACUGUGGGGCUCCAAGGCUCCUCACGAAGCAGUGGCUGCAGCUGCUCUCUGGUGCCACGGAGCCCGGCAAGUCCCCAGAGACAGAGGCGGGAGUGUCCCCUGAGUGUCCCCUAUGGGAGGAUGGAACACCUGCCGCACCUGUCUUUACCCUGCAGAGACUCGCUCGGGGAUGGGGCAACAGGGCUGUGAGAAGACACCGCCAAGGGACGAGUCUGAAGCACAGAGGAUCAGAAGCUGAGGCAUCACGUCUCAAACUAUCAUUGAGUGUGUUCCUUGUAACCCGGGCAGUCACAGUGUUCGGGGGGGCAGUCACAGUGUUCCAAAGUCAGAACUGAGUUUGGAUAAUACUUCCCUAGCCCCUUUGGGGAUGGUUAGGUCACAGUGCAAAUUGUCAUGGUAAAGGCUCUGAGAAGGCCUGUGGGAAAUAACCUUGUUUCAUUUAAACCCAUUAUUCUGAAACUUAUUGAUCACAGACUCUUGUUGUUGUUGUUGGAAUACAUGCUACUGUGUUGUUUUUUACACCUUUUGGGACCCCUGCUCACUCGGCCUCUUUCCUCACCAGGAAAGGCAUCAAGGAGGGCCAUGACCCUGACGACCACCUCCAGAAGGCUUGUCCCAGGGGCAGGGGCUCCCUCCACAUCUUCACCGCACACGUGUAUCCACAGAGCGACGGCAUCUGCCACCGGGACCUUGUUAGAAAUGCAGAAUCUGGGGGCACCUGGGUGCCUCCGUCGGUUAAGCUUCCAACUUCAGCUCAGGUCAUGAUCUCAUGGUUUGUGAGUUCGAGCCCCCCAUCCGGCUGUCGGCUGUCAGCGCAGAGCCUGCUUCAGAUCCUGU
rnacentral:lncRNA from 1 species